GGCAGAAUAGUAAAAGUCAAGAAAGCUGACUGUGAAAUCAGACUGCCUGGGUUCAAAUCCCAGUUCUCUCA
rnacentral:tRNA from 1 species